rnacentral:lncRNA from 1 species
AGCAAUGUAUUAAGUACACCGUCACAUAUAUUUUUUUCAAUGUGCAUGACAUCAAGAUUAUGACGUAAGAGAAGGUCCUUCCAAUAAGGUAAUGAGGAAAAUAUACUUUUUUUCUUCCAACCUUUUGGCUUGUCAGUAUUUUCGUCCCUUUUUCUUUUUUCAGAUAUACCUUCAGGUUUCUUUCCAAAUGUGAUAACAUAAUCCUCUAAUUGCUUUAGAAUAUUAGCCCCAGUC